rnacentral:rRNA from 1 species
CUAUACAUGACUCUGCGCAUAUCAAUAAGCGGAGGAAAAGAAACUAACAAGGAUUCCCCUAGUAACGGCGAGUGAAGCGGGAAGAGCUCAAAUUUGAAAUCUUAAAGGGUUUCCCUUUACGAAUUGUAGUUUAAAGAAGUGUUUUCUGUUGAGGUUUUGGUAAAAGUUCUUUGGAAUAGGACAUCAUAGAGGGUGAGAAUCCCGUAUUUGACCUUUACUUUCAACUUUGUGAUACACUUUCAAAGAGUCGGAUUGUUUGGGAAUGCAGUCCAAAAUGGGUGGUAAAUUUCAUCUAAAGCUAAAUAUUGGCGAGAGACCGAUAGCGAACAAGUACCGUGAGGGAAAGAUGAAAAGAACUUUGAAAAGAGAGUUAAACAGUACGUGAAAUUGUCAAAAGGGAAGCGUUUGACACCAGUGUUGUUUUUCUGAAAAUCAAUUAAAGAACUGUUUAUGCUAAGUUGUUUAGACUUUAUCAGCUAACUGUUUAGUUUUGAGCUUUUCUUUAAUGCACUUUUCAGUUAACAAGUCAACAUCAAUUUCUUUUGCUGUAAAAAAGCUUGAGGAAGGUGGCUUGAGAUUCGUCUUAAGUGUUUAUAGCCUCUUGCCUAUGCAGUCGGAGAGAUUGAGGUCUGCAGCGUAGAUCCUUCGGGGCUAAAUGCAUUUGUGCUAAGUUAUAGCAUUUUGUAGACAACUUGUUGACUAUGAUUUGUCUUGUAGCUUACUCGCUUAUGUUAUUUUACCUACGCUUAGGAUGUUGACAGCAGUAUAGACUGU